rnacentral:rRNA from 1 species
AGAGUUUGAUCCUGGCUCAGAACGAACGCUGGCGGCGUGCUUAACACAUGCAAGUCGUACGAGAAAAGAGGGGCAACUCUCUGAGUAAAGUGGCGCACGGGUGAGUAACGCGUGGGUAACCUACCCUUGAAUUGGGGAUAACUCCGCGAAAGCGGGGUUAAUACCGAAUAAUAUUCCGAUUUCUUUGGGGAUUGGAAUCAAAGAUGGCCUCUGCAUGCAAGCUAUCGUUUAAGGAUGGGCCCGCGUACCAUUAGCUUGUUGGUAGGGUAAUAGCCUACCAAGGCAACGAUGGUUAGCUGGUCUAAGAGGAUGGCCAGCCACACUGGAACUGAGACACGGUCCAGACUCCUACGGGAGGCAGCAGUGGGGAAUCUUGCGCAAUGGGGGAAACCCUGACGCAGCAACGCCGCGUGGGUGAUGAAGGCCUUCGGGUCGUAAAGCCCUGUCAGGUGGGAAGAAACUUGUGGAUGCUAAUACCAUCCAUACUUGACGGUACCACCGGAGGAAGCACCGGCUAACUCCGUGCCAGCAGCCGCGGUAAUACGGAGGGUGCAAGCGUUGUUCGGAAUUAUUGGGCGUAAAGCGCGUGCAGGUGGUCGGGCAAGUCAGAUGUGAAAGCCUUCCGCUUAACGGAAGAAGUGCAUUUGAAACUGCUCGGCUAGAGUACGGGAGAGGAGAGUGGAAUUCCCGGUGUAGAGGUGAAAUUCGUAGGUAUCGGGAGGAACACCAGUGGCGAAGGCGGCUCUCUGGUCCGAUACUGACGCUGAGACGCGAAAGCGUGGGGAGCAAACAGGAUUAGA